rnacentral:rRNA from 1 species
GCUCGUAGUUGGAUCUCAGUUACGUACUUUGAUUCGCCUUUGGCGUUAAUCAUUGUCGUGACUAUUUUGUUGGUUUUCUGUUGGUGGCCUCGGCUCCUUCAGUGGCUAACGAGUUUACUUUGAAUAAAUUAGAGUGCUCAAAACAAGCGUUUGCUUGAAUGCUCGAUCAUGGAAUAAUAAAAGAGGACUUCGGUUCUUUUUGUUGGUUCAAGAACUGAAUUAAUGGUUAAGAGGGACAACUCGGGGGCAUUCGUAUCCCUGCGCGAGAGGUGAAAUUCGUGGACCGCAGGGGGACGCCCUAAAGCGAAAGCAUUUGCCAAGAAUGUCUUCAUUAAUCAAGAACGAAAGUCAGAGGUUCGAAGGCGAUUARAUACCGSCCUAGUUCUGACCGUAAACUAUGCCAUCUAGCGAUCCAAUGGGGUAUUGWAGCCUUGUUGGGGARCUUCCCGGAAMCGAAAGUCUUUCGGUUCCUGGGGUAGUAUGGUUGCAAAGCUGAAACUUAAAGAAAUUGACGGAAGGGCACCACCAGGAGUGGAGCCUGCGGCUUAAUUUGACUCAACACGGGAAAACUCACCCGGCCCGGACACCGUUAGGAUUGACAGAUUGAAAGCUCUUUCUCGAUUUGGUGGUUGGUGGUGCAUGGCCGUUCUUAGUUGGUGGAGCGAUUUGUCUGGUUUAUUCCGAUAACGAGCGAGACUCUAGCCUGC